rnacentral:ncRNA from 1 species
UAACUCUGGAAAGCAGGCGUUAGCCUCACCGAAGGGGUAAAUCUCUCAGGUAAUCCGACAGAGGGGGC